rnacentral:lncRNA from 1 species
GAAUUCCUUAAAAAUCUUUUUUUCUAAUUGGAACCAAAAACAACAACAUGGAGAUGAAUAAUGCGAAGCAAGCACCAUAUUCACUGUAAUAUGAAAAAAAUUUUAUUAGAACUUGGAUUGAUCAUGUUAAAUCAAACAGAAAGUUUAAAAAGAGAAAGAAUUUUUUAUAAUUUAUUAAAUCAAAAUUGUGUAAAAACAGAAUUGGGUGUAUUAGAUAACAUUGAGCUUCCAAACUUUGUGAUUUCCACAUUAACUUAUAGGCCACAGUUCUAUAUUGGUGUUUCCUAGCCAUAGGUUUAUCAUAUGUGUCAAUUUGAGAAAUAAAUGGAGUUGAAUAGACAGUAAAAAAAAUUAGGUGGAAAUGUGUCUUUGAUAUUAAGAAAGGUAUUAAUAGCAGGACUAAAGUAAGUGUGCUGAUCACUGGAAGCUGGAAAUAGUAUGCUCACUUACUAGGAGCUGGCUACAUGAUGAGGCCAUUACCUUCACAAGGGAUGAUAAAAGUAAGAAAAUGGUAUUCCUGAAACAGACUAGUUAUGUGAAAUACAUAGAACAAUGUUUAGAAGAGAUGAAAACUGAGGAAUUGGAACUGGACCUGAUAACAGCAGAGGUGUGUUAUUAGAUAUAGUAGAAGAAAAGAUCUAUUGGAAUUUUUAUAUUUUAUCUGUUUGCAUAUCUAAAAUUCCAUAAACAACCACUGACUGCUUGCCUGAUUGUGGAAAGAUAUUUUGUUCCCAUUUACCCCUUGAAGAAGAAAAUUGAUAAAUAGAUCAAAGGAAUAUUGAUUAAUUUUUAAUGGUGAAAAUUGUAAAAGUUGAUUAUUAUAACAUGAUAAUUGGCUAAUUCAGGAAAAUAGAUAAACUGAUAAAACUCGGGAACAAAGAGGGCCAAAGAAUGGCAGAAGGUCAUAGUCAAUUUGUAUUUAUUGUAUAGUAUAUUUCUGACUUAUGCAGUUAAUUCAUCCAAAAAAUUUCCACAUAAAUCAAAAAAAUGUUUAAAUACAACAAUGUUUAAAAACAAUAUAUAUGAAGUGUCAUGUUAGCAAACAGAAUGGUUAAAUAAAAUUUAUGAAUAUAUUUUUAACUGUAGAUAAGAAAAUUGAGAGCUAUAAGUGAUAUUUUUAUA